AUGAACGCUGGCGGCGUGCCUAAUACAUGCAAGUCGAGCGAACAGACGAGGAGCUUGCUCCUCUGACGUUAGCGGCGGACGGGUGAGUAACACGUGGAUAACCUACCUAUAAGACUGGGAUAACUUCGGGAAACCGGAGCUAAUACCGGAUAAUAUAUUGAACCGCAUGGUUCAAUAGUGAAAGACGGUUUUGCUGUCACUUAUAGAUGGAUCCUCGCCGCAUUAGCUAGUUGGUAAGGUAACGGCUUACCAAGGCAUCGAUGCGUAGCCGACCUGAGAGGGGGACCGGCGACAGGGGGACUGAGAUAAGGCCCAGACGCCUACGGGAGGAAGCAGGUGGGAAGAUGGCACAAUGGGCGGAAGCCUGAUGAAGCAACGCCGCGGGCGGGAUGAAGGCCUUCGGGUUGUAAAACGCGGUCGCCUGGGACGAAGCGUGAGUGACGGGAAUGGGUAAAGAAGCACCGGCUAACGACGUG
rnacentral:rRNA from 1 species